rnacentral:rRNA from 1 species
AUUAGUCUUUUAAUUGAAGACUUGCAUGAACGGUUGGACGAAAAGUAAGCUGUCUUUGUUUGAGUAAAUUGAAUUUAACUUUUAAGUGAAAAGGCUUAAAUGAUCUAAAGGGACGAUAAGACCCUAUAAAACUUUAUAUUAGAAUUAUUUAAAAACUAUUUAGAUAGAAAGGUAAGUAAGUAGUAAAAUAUUUUGUUGGGGCGACAAGAAUAUAAGAAUAUAACUGUUCUUAAGUAUAAUCAAAAAUUUUUGAUUUAAUGAUCCUAGGUAAAGAUAUUAGAAUAAGUUACUUUAGGGAUAACAGCGUAAUUUUUUUAGAGAGUUCAUAUCGAUAGAAGAGUUUGCGACCUCGAUGUUGAAUUAAAGAAUCUUUAUAGCGGAGAA